UACGAAGGGGGCGAGCGUUGUUCGGAAUCACUGGGCGUAAAGCGUGCGUAGGUGGCGAGGAAAGUUAGGAGUGAAAGCCCAGGGCUCAACCUUGGAAUUGCUCUUAAUACUCCCUCGCUCGAAUCUCGGAGAGGAUAGCGGAAUUGUCAGUGUAGCAGUGAAAUGCGUAGAUAUUGACAGGAACACCGGUGGCGUAAGCGGCUAUCUGGACGAGUAUUGACACUGAGGCACGAAAGCGUGGGGAUCAAACAGG
rnacentral:rRNA from 1 species